rnacentral:rRNA from 1 species
UACGGAGGGUGCAAGCGUUACCCGGAUUUACUGGGUUUAAAGGGUGCGUAGGUGGGUAGGAAAGUCAGUGGUGAAAUCUUCGGGCUUAACCCGGAAACUGCCAUUGAUACUAUUUAUCUUGAAUACUUUGGAGGUAAGCGGAAUAUGUCAUGUAGCGGUGAACUGCUUAGAUAUGACAUAGAACACCAAUUGCGAAGGCAGCUUACUACACAGUUAUUGACACUGAGGCACGAAAGCGUGGGGAUCAAACAGG